rnacentral:rRNA from 1 species
GACAGCAGUCGCCACGGUAAUUGGUAAGGUGCAAGCGUUAAUCGGAAUUACUGGGCGUAAAGCGUGCGCAGGCGGUUCUAUAAGACAGAUGUGAAAUCCCCGGGCUCAACCUGGGAACUGCAUUUGUGACUGUAGAGCUGGAGUACGGCAGAGGGGGAUGGAAUUCCGCGUGUAGCAGUGAAAUGCGUAGAUAUGCGGAGGAACACCGAUGGCGAAGGCAAUCCCCUGGGCCUGUACUGACGCUCAUGCACGAAGCGUGGGGAGCAAACAGGAUUAGAUACCCGUGUAGUCCCUGUCUCUUAUACA